UACGUAGGGUGCAAGCGUUGUCCGGAAUUAUUGGGCGUAAAGAGCUCGUAGGCGGUUCGUCGCGUCGGCUGUGAAAUCCCGAGGCUCAACCUCGGGUCUGCAGUCGAUACGGGCGGACCGGAGUUCGGCAGGGGAGACUGGAAUUCCUGGUGUAGCGGUGAAAUGCGCAGAUAUCAGGAGGAACACCGGUGGCGAAGGCGGGUCUCUGGGCCGAUACUGACGCUGAGGAGCGAAAGCGUGGGGAGCGAACAGG
rnacentral:rRNA from 1 species